GACAGGCAAACGCAGGCAACCUCUUUCAUCCAUCAAGUGUUUGGCGGGUACCUAAGAUCCAGAGUUAAACGUUUAAACUGCAAAGCUGUCUCAGAUACAUUUGACCCUUUUCUGGAUAUCACUCUGGAAAUUAAGACUGCUCCAAAUGUCUCCAAAGCUCUGAAGCAGUUUGUCAAGCCAGAACAGCUGGGUGGCGAAAAUGCUUACAAAUGCA